rnacentral:rRNA from 1 species
UACGGGGGGUGCGAGCGUUAAUCGGAAUAACUGGGCGUAAAGGGCACGCAGGCGGGCUUUUAAGUGAGGUGUGAAAUCCCCGGGCUUAACCUGGGAAUUGCAUUUCAUACUGGGAAGCUAGAGUACUUUAGAGAGGGGUAGAAUUCCACGUGUAGCGGUGAAAUGCGUAGAGAUGUGGAGGAAUACCGAAGGCGAAGGCAGCCCCUUGGGCAUGUACUGACGCUCAUGAGCGAAAGCGUGGGGAGCAAACAGG